GCGAGAAAGGUAUAUGUAGAACCACUGGAUCAGUUUCGCUUCUCCGUGAGAUGUACACGUAAUUUUAGAUAUAUCGUAGACUUGAAUGAUAACACGUGCACGUGUAGACAGUUUCAGUUGGAGAAUUUUCCAUGUACACAUGCAGUGGCAGUGGCUAUGCAUAGAGGAUUUUCACCACACACCUUAUGCAGUGUGUAUUACAUGACUGAUUAUUGGAGAGCAUCGUAUGCGGAAACAAUAUUU
rnacentral:lncRNA from 1 species